AUGUUGUUGAUCUGUUGAAUGAUUCCAAAGGAAAUGAGAGAAAAACCUCUAUUGAGUUAGAUAUUGAAGGGUUCAAGUCAGCUCUGUCUCAUGUGGAUUUACAGAUGAAGAAUCUUCCUGCAACUGCUCAGGUUGCUGCUCAAUAAGGUGCAUACCUUGCUAGGUGCUUUAACCACAUGAAGGACUCUGAAGAUAAUCCUGAAGGUCCUCUCAGGUUCAAAGAAUCAGGUCGCCAUCAAUUUCAGCCAUUUCAGUACAAGCAUUUUGGGCAGUUUGCUCCAUUGGGAGGAGAGCAAACAGCUGUAGAACUC